CACCUUGAAGCACUGGUCCCCGUACGAUCACAGAAGUUAAGUAACGUCGUGGCUGGUAGUACUAAGUUGGGUGACCGGUUGUAAAUACCAGAUUCUGU